UACGAAGGGGGCUAGCGUUGUUCGGAAUUACUGGGCGUAAAGCGCACGUAGGCGGAUUGGUCAGUUAGGGGUGAAAUCCCAGGGCUCAACCCUGGAACUGCCUUUAAUACUGCCAAUCUAGAGUUCGAGAGAGGUGAGUGGAAUUCCGAGUGUAGAGGUGAAAUUCGUAGAUAUUCGGAAGAACACCAGUGGCGAAGGCGGCUCACUGGCCCGUUACCGACGCUCAGGCGCGACAGCGUGGGGAGCAAACAGG
rnacentral:rRNA from 1 species